GACGAACGCUGGCGGCGUGCUUAACACAUGCAAGUCGAACGGAAAGGCCCUGCUUUUGUGGGGUGCUCGAGUGGCGAACGGGUGAGUAACACGUGAGUAACCUGCCCUUGACUUUGGGAUAACUUCAGGAAACUGGGGCUAAUACCGGAUAGGAGCUCCUGCUGCAUGGUGGGGGUUGGAAAGUUUCGGCGGUUGGGGAUGGACUCGCGGCUUAUCAGCUUGUUGGUGGGGUGGUGGCUUACCAAGGCUUUGACGGGUAGCCGGCCUGAGCGGGUGACCGGCCACAUUGGGACUGAGAUACGGCCCAGACUCCUACGGGAGGCAGCAGUGGGGAAUAUUGCACGAUGGGCGGAAGCCUGAUGCAGCAACGCCGCGUGCGGGAUGACGGCCUUCGGGUUGUAAACCGCUUUCGCCUGUGACGAAGCGUGAGUGACGGUAAUGGGUAAAGAAGCACCGGCUAACUACGUG
rnacentral:rRNA from 1 species